rnacentral:rRNA from 1 species
UAUUGCGCAAUGGAGGGAACUCUGACGCAGCGACGCCGCGUGAGCGAUGAAGGUUUUCGGAUCGUAAAGCUCUGUCCCUGAGGAAGAAGGCGGCAAUUUUUGGCCACUUGACGGUACCCAAGGAGGAAGACCCGGCGAACUACGUGCCAGCAGCCGCGGGAAUACGUAGGGGGCAGGCGUUGUCCGGAAUUAUUGGGCGUAAAGGGGGCGUAGGCGGCCGUUUAAGUCAGAUGUGAAAGACCACGGCUUAACCGUGGGGUUGCAUUUGAAACUGGAGGGCUUGAGUAUCGGAGAGGGUAGUGGAAUUCCCAGUGUAGCGGUGGAAUGCGUAGAUAUUGGGAGGAACACCAGUGGCGAAGGCGACUACCUGGACGAAAACUGACGCUGAGGCACGAAAGCUAGGGGAGCAAACA